rnacentral:rRNA from 1 species
UACGGAGGAUCCAAGCGUUAUCCGGAUUUAUUGGGUUUAAAGGGUGCGUAGGCGGCUUGAUAAGUCAGUGGUGAAAGCCGAUCGCUUAACGAUCGAACUGCCAUUGAUACUGCCAGGCUUGAGUAUAGUUGAGGUAGGCGGAAUUGACAGUGUAGCGGUGAAAUGCAUAGAUAUUGUCAAGAACACCAAUUGCGAAGGCAGCUUACUAAAGUAUAACUGACGCUGAGGCACGAAAGUGCGGGGAUCAAACAGG